UUUCCAGAUUAAGCAUUUAACCCAGUAAUCAACUGAAGAUACGUUUUUUGAUGCUCUUCCACCUGGCAUCAAAGACAUCAAAAUCAGCAUGUUUUUUUUUUGUUGGCCAGUGGCUCCACUGAUAGAAUCCAGUUUUCUACGCCAGGACAAACCGGUCCCUCUGAUUUGCAUAAACGUUAAAUUAUGCAAACGAUGCCAGGAUUGAGAGGUCUGCAGGUACUCUGUUUGAUUGCACUGGGAUAGGCAGAGGUAAAAUGGAGAUACAAAAAACAGGAAAAGAAAAGAAAAAAAAAAGAUCUCUUCAUCAAGCAUACGCUUGCAGUGACCAGAAUCUAAAUGUGACUUGGUGCAGGUAGAAUAACACAAUGGCAAGGACCACUGACGUGUGUGUGUGUGUGUGUGUGUGUGUGUGUGUGUGUGUGUGUGUGUGUGUGUGUGUGUGUGUGUGUACCUGUCUGUGCAAGGACCACUGGCGUGUACUUCUACAUAUUGACCAAAAGAACAGGCAUGGAUAAGAAUACAUGUGUAAUGCAUUAUGCAGUUUUUAUAAAGACAUGUUGGCUGAGUACAACCAUAUGAAAAAAAUCACAACACAAAACUCAAAAAGGUACUUAGGGCCUGGUGUAUUACUGAAGAUUCAAUUAACUAUAACAAUACAAAUGUGUGAGUGUGUGUAUGUGUGUGGGUGUGUGUGUGUAUCUGUGUGUGUGUGUGUGUGUGUGUGUGUGUGUGUGUGUGUGUGUGUGUGUGUGGGUGUGUAUGUGUGUGUAACAUGGACUAACUAGUCGAUCCAAUCAACGAGUGUAUGUCCUGUCGGGCGUAGAGGGGGUGAGUGAGAGGGUGGAUGUGCAGCUGGUGUCUAUGUGUGUGUGUGUAUGCUGGAGAGUGUGUGUGUGCUGCGUAUGCUUGAGAGUGUGUGUGUGAGAGCAGGGAGGUGAGGAGAGAAGCUGCAUGCAGAGAAGGGUAGAGGGGCGCGGGAUGGAGGGAUGAUGCAGGGAGGAGGAAAAGAGGGGGGUGAUGAGAGGUCAACACCGCCGACGGAUGAGCGGAAAGUGGCGACGGACGGAGGGGGAGAGAGAAGGAGCGGGGGGAGAGAGGGAGAGAGGGAUGAGGGCAGAGAGGAGAGGAGGAGUGGAGGGGAGGGAGAGAGGGAUGAAGAGGAGAAGAGGAGUGGAGGGGGGAGAGAGGGAGAGAGGGAUGAGUGCAGAGAGGAGAAGAGGAGUGGUGGAGGGGGAGGAGGAGAGAGGGAUGAUGGAGGGGUGGAGAUGGAGAGAUGGGGCAAAUGGAAGGAAAAGGGGCGGAAGGAGUGUUGAGGGGCAAAGAGAUGGCAGGGGCCGAGGGCAUGUCCAUGGGCACCUCGGCGGGCACCUGCUGCAGCUGACUCUGCAUGUGCUGCCUGGCCUGCUGCUGUAGGCGCCUGUACUUGUCAAUCUCCUCCGCGCUAAACAUGAUUGGCUGCUCACUCAGAGGAGGGGCGGGGUCUCUGUGACCCCUGCCCUCCUCCUCCCGGUCUGAUUGGGCGGAUCGAGGCGUGAUGUCGUCGUGUUUAGGGGAUGGAGAUCUUUCCUGUUGUAGAGAGGUAAUCGUGGUGAUUGAAGUACGUUCAGCUGUGGCUCUAUCCGAUGUGGAGGGGGACGUGGGUCGUACACAAGCCUGCAGAGAGGUCACGUCAGUGGGGGAAUUGAUCAUGGUCUCUCCCCCGUUCUCCAGGGGGCUUAUUCUUUUCCUUUCCCUGCCGAUGAGCUUGCUGCUGUCUGCACCGGCGUGCAGCGGAUCUUUCCGGAAGCCUCUCUUGACUUUGUGGCUGGCUGCUUUGCCGAGCGCCCUCCUCACCGCGGGCUGCUUCCCUAUCAGCGGCAACAGCGGCGUGUGCUUGACUGGAGCGCGGCAGCGUGCGUGGGCGUUGUGCUUGUUGUGUGACAGCGCGCCGUUUGUUCUCGUUACUUCCAGGGUUUUGUCCUCCGGGGGCACCCCUCCCGCUGGGUCGGCUGCUGCGCGUGCGAGCGCUUGUGUGGGCAGAUCCUCUCUCGCUCGCCGCCCCCCUGCGCCCGAGUCUCUUUUGCUACCGCCGCCGCUGCCACAGCUCCAUCCCGCCAAAUGUCUCCUCACAAAGUGGGCACGUUUGUCUGGCUGACAACCCCCCUCUGUGUCUCUCUUCGUGGGCAUGAGCGAUGGUGGCGUGGUUGCCGCGUGUUUAUCUCCGUGGGCGGCUGGACCUGAUCGCCGUGGCGCCGCCCGCUGGUUGGCAGCGCCCUGCGUGGUGGUUCUGCCCGAGCACCGGCCAACAUGUCCAGCAGCAGCAGCGCCCCAGUCGGAGCUGAGCUCCGAGAUGCUGGUGUUGGUGGAGGAGCCGGCGCUCCGCGUGGAACCGGGGCUGUGCCGCGCGUCCUCCUCCUCCUCCCGAUCCAGGCUCACCUCUCUGGGGCUGUAGGCCCACGGUCCUCCCCUUAGUCUGGGACUCCUGGGCCUCAUGUAGUCCCUCUCUCUGCUUUCCCUGUGCCUGUGCCACCUCCUCCCUGGGCUGAGUGUCCUGCUCUCACACCUCCUCCCGGGACUAAGUGUCCUGUUCUCACACCUCCUCCCGGGGACUAAGUGUCCUGUUCUCACACCUCCUCCCGGGACUAAGUGUCCCCUGUUCUCACACCUCCUCCCGGGGGGGCUGAGUGUCCUGCUCUCACACCUCCUCCCGGGACUAAGUGUCCUGUUCUCACACCUCCUCUCGGGACUAAGUGUCCUGCUCUCCCACCUCCUCCUGCACUCCUCCUCCUCCUCCUCCUCCCAUCCUCCACUCUCUCUGUGCCCAUUACACCGGCCCACAAUGCAUCUGCUCGUUCCCCUGUCACGUAAUGACUGAUACGUCCUCCUGUGGCCACAACUGUCCCUGUGAUGGCCGGCUGUGCCGUAGGCUACCCUGAAGUGCUGCAGGCCCGUGAUGUCUGUUGUCACUAAUCUGUGGGGUCCUUCACUGUUGAGGCUGUCUCUACAGUGCCUGUCUGUUGUCACUAAUCUGUGGGGUCCUUCACUGUUGAGGCUGUCUCUACAGUGCCUGUCUGUUGUCACUAAUCGGUGGGGUCCUUCACUGUUGAGGCUGUCCCUACAGUGCCUGAAGCCUGGGUUGUAGCUCGGUACACAGAUGUAAGAACGAGGCUGACUGUUGCCUCGACUCCAGGAAGGCCGAAAGAUGACCCGGGCGGGUGAGGGGUCAUCCCAUUGGGGGUCAUCCCAUGCAGGGUCGUCACAUGCGGGGUCAUCCCACGCCUCGCAGCGCAUAUCUGUCUCUCGGUCUUCAUAACUGUGCCUGUCUCUGGGCGUUACCUUGUAGCUGUCAUCUUGUUUAUAGACGUCAAAGUCGUAACUCCAGCUGUGGUCGUCAGCCGUCGUCGCCGAGCAGCCGGAGGCGGGUUCAGGGGAGAAGGGCGUCCAUCGCUCGAGGCGCAGAGCCUUCGCCACCCUUCUCUCCGCGCGGCGUCUCGUUUCGCCCCGCUUGCUCGGCGGAGCGGAGAACGACUUCACCACCACGCUCCUCAGGCUAGGCUCCGGCGUCGCCAUGGCAACCCGGCUGGAACUCACCCCCUCCGCUGCGGCUCUCUUCCUCUUCCUCCUCGCGUGCGGUCCUCCUCGCUGUCCUUUGUCACACGUUGUGUUCGUGUCUGCCGCCGCCGCCGCCCCCUUCGUCUUCCUCCCGCUGUGCUUGCGGCGGCGCUUGGGCCUGGCCGGAGGCGAUGGCCGCUCGGGUUCCGCCGUCACAAACACGGCCUCCGUUUCUCGGCAUCCCAAUCCCAUGUCUUCCUCCUCGUCUUCCUCCUCCGCUGUGCUUCUCCGCUUGAGAUGAGCUCGUGCCAAUGUGCUGGGGCUCUGUGAGAGCAGCAUGUGUGUGUUUGCAUGUGGGGCCCUUUUGAGGUGUGUAAGCGUGUGUGUGUGUGUGACGGGGCGCUCUGUGCAGUCUACACCAGGCCUCCUUUUACCAUGUGUGUGCUUGCAUGGUGCCGCUGAGUGUGUGUGUGUGUCUUCCCCUGCCUCAGGUGUUCUGGAGUGUGUGUGUGUGUCUUCCCCUGCUUCAGGUGUUCCUGAGUGUGUGUGUGUCUCUGAUGCUGACGUGAUAUGGGAGGACGUCUCGUCGUGUGCGUUGGGUGUCACACAGCACACCGUGUCUUGUGUUGGUGUCAGAUUAGGGAUCGUGUCUUCACUCUCGGCGGGGGUACUGUGGCGUGUUUGUGCGUCCUCCGUGUGUGUGUAGAGGCGGCGUGUGUGUGUGUCUUCGCUCGCGACGGGGGUACUGUGGCGUGUUUGUGCGUCCUCCGUGUGUGUGUAGAGGCGGCGUGUGUGUGUGUCUUCACUCUCGGCGGGGGUACUGUGGCGUGUGUGUGCGUCCUCCCGGUGUGUGUAGAGGCGGAGUGUGUGCGUCUGAGCGUGGCAGGGGUUGCAGCUGUAGGGCAGAUGGGGCUCCGUGUGUGUGUAGCCCAGCAGCUCCAAGGGCCACCUGAGAGACGGCCCUCCGUCUUUCGCCAGGACACUGAUGAAUGAGCCUUCCUCCUCCUCCUCCUCCUCUUCCUCCUCCUCCUCGGAGCUGUGGCAGCCUGAUUUACACAGGUGCCCUUGUCCCCCCGCCUCUGCUGAGUCCCAAACAGGAUCCGCCUCAACAUCCUGUCCUUGCAGCUCGGGGGAAGGAGCUGUGUGCAUGUGGGGGUGAAUGUGGGUCGAGUGCAUCUGAGGUCCUGCGUGGGGUUUCUCUGGGUCGCACACACACACACACACGCACACGCAGGGAGGGUGACAGUUGCUUGGGUUAGAGUCAGCAUGUGCACACACACACACACACUCCGGAGCGUGAGAGGAGCCGUCUCUCGACGAGGUGUCUUUCUCUCCCGUUUCAUCACUCCGUCCCUCCCUCCUCUUCUCCCUCUCUUUCGUGUCCUCCAGCCGUGCCCUGGCCUCGUUUAAUUCCAGAUUUUCUGGGGGCCUUAGGGGGCUGCCGAGGUCGCCGUCGUGCCCGUGGGAGGGUGAAGGAGAGUGGGACGGGAGGGCGUGGAGGCU
ensembl:lncRNA